AGUGAACGCUGGCGGUAGGCCUAACACAUGCAAGUCGAACGGCAGCACAGUAAGAGCUUGCUCUUACGGGUGGCGAGUGGCGGACGGGUGCGGAAUACAUCGGAAUCUACUUUUUCGUGGGGGAUAACGUAGGGACACUUACGCUAAUACCGCAUACGACCUACGGGUGAAAGCAGGGGAUCUUCGGACCUUGCGCGAGUGAAUGAGCCGAUGUCGGAUUAGCUAGUUGGCGGGGUAAAGGCCCACCAAGGCGACGAUCCGUAGCUGGUCUGAGAGGAUGAUCAGUCACACUGGAACUGAGACACGGUCCAGACUCCUACGGGAGGCAGCAGUGGGGAAUAUUGGACAAUGGGCGCAAGCCUGAUCCAGCCAUGCCGCGUGUGUGAAGAAGGCCUUCGGGUUGUAAAGCCCUUUUGGUUGGAAAGAAAAGCAGCAGGUUAAUACCCCGCUGUUCUGACGGUACCAAAAGAAUAAGCACCGGCUAACUUCGUG
rnacentral:rRNA from 1 species